GGAGCCAUCAACGGUCCAACGACCCAUCGACGGUCCGUAGGUGGCAACCGUCGCCAUGAAGAUGUUAUGCUGCCAAGGAAAGAUCGGGGGAUUCCUACUAAGUGUGGGUCUAUGAAAGGCAUGACGGUCUGUCCUGGUGAUCCGUUGGUGUUAACAACAUGCAGCCCCAGUACCUGAUUUGAAAAGAUUCUAAGUGUGGGGCAACGAAGGCCAUCGAUGGCCCAUCGUCAUAUCAACGGAUCGUCGUCUUGGUCUGUUGAUGGUAACAGACACUUGGAUAAGAAAGCAGCUAAAAAUAUAGUUAAAGUAUGGACCGACGGAGGUGUUGAAGAUCCGUCGCUGCCUCGACGCUCCGUCGGUAAGGUCAUUGACGUUAGACACAUUUUUGGACAUAUUU
rnacentral:misc_RNA from 1 species